GUCUACAGCCAUGCCACCCUGAACGUACCUAAUCUUGUCUGAUCUCAGAAGCUAAGCAGGGUCGGGCCUGGUUAGUACUUGGAUGGCAGAUCACCAUCCAUGGGAGAUCACCUUGGAAGGAAGACCAGGUGGGCUGUGGGCA
rfam:Pteropus alecto contig166746, whole genome shotgun sequence.